CUUGGAGGUGGGGUAGAAGUUUGGUUCAGGUCACAUUUUAAGAAGGACCUUCUCAAUUUUAAUUUCCCCAAUCAAUAUGUGAACUAAUACACAGGCAUUCUUGUAAAUUUAUACUUCUCUGAGUUUCGCAGUGUAGAUUUUUCAGCUGAGUAAGUUCUACAAAAAACAUAUAUACUAAGGGGAGUUGCUUGCAAAAAUGUGUAUAUUGUGAGAAAUGCCCAUUAAAAUGCUGGUGAAUUUUCAUGAGACUUUUGUAAAUAAAAAACAUCACAAACUGAUGUGGAAAUGUAGAAAUUAAAAUUUAAGAUUGUCUGCCUAUAGAAUUGCAAGGCCAAGGUACUUUAAGAGCCCUCUGUGGUCUCUCUCUCUCUCUGUUAUACCUCUUCUCAAUCCAAAGUUUAAAGUUCUGUGCUUGGGUCAUGCCAGAUAGGAAAAUGUGGGCAAUUUUCACAGUAAAACCUCUUGGGACAUAUCCUUAAAAGUCUCAUUUCAGGUGCACAUGAAUCUCUCUGCCUUUAUUUGAAGUAUCAUUCAUUCUGUGCUGCAGAGCACAAUUAUGCUCAAGUGUCUUUCUAACUGCUUCCCAGAUGGAAAGUUCAGAUUCAUCCUGUACCGUGAAUGUUAAUGAAACAACAUGACAAACAUUUCCUGGAAUACGACAUCAAUGAAAUGAGCUGAAACAAAGCAUUCAGGCUGAAAUCUUCCUUGGCGUUUCUUAUGCUUCCAUUCAGAACAGGGCAACCGAAAUUAUCAAAGAGGUGAGCAAGUCCCAUAGGAGGACAGGAUGCAACCAUCAGGGCUUUUAAGUUUAAUUUCUCAAAAUUCAG